rnacentral:lncRNA from 1 species
AUGGGCACCAGGGAAAAGUCUUCCCCAUGGUUCCCCACUCCGCUCCCCCGCCACCUCCGCACCCCUCGGCUCGGAACGUCCUCCCUUGCCCAUCCCCGGGUCCCCUCCAUCCGCAGCGCGGCUCCGAGGGCACUACUCGCCCUCUCUCCCUUUCCAUGCCCACUCUGUGCCCGCUCCAUCCUCCCUCCAUCCCCGCUCCGUGCCCGCCCCGGGGGCACCGCGCAUGUGGCAGCGAUUACAGAUUCCUGUGAUUCGUGCCACGCGAUUGAUAGACUGAGGUGGUUGUGGGGGUGGCUGCAGGACGGAGAUGUGUUGCUUCGGGAAAGUCGGGGCGGGGGGGAACCCCCCCUUCUUACUCCCAGCCCUCGGAGCGGCCGCCCGCAGCGGGGCAGUGACCUGCCCGAGGGGUCGGGCGGAGGCGGUGGGAAUAGAACAGUUGAGCUCGCACGGAGCCGCCCUUCCAACGAUGCUUUUUUUUUUUUUUUGGGGGGGGGGGAGAACUUGUGUUCCAUCCGCGGCCCUGCCCUUUGUUCCGUGCAAAGCCCGUUCACACGGCGGUGGGGGCCGAGCCCCUGCCCUCCCCCGGUGUCUGCGUGCCCGUGGUGCCGCGCUCCGCUCCCAGCCCCCGGCCCCGUACUUUCCCACCCAGGUGCGGGCCCGCAGCAGCCCGCCCGUUGCCGUCGCUCUGCCUGGCGGGGGGAUAUGCCUGUGAGCGGACUCCCCGGGCCCUGCAGCCUCUGCCCGGCCCCGGUCAGGCGGCGGAGCCGCCCUCCGCUCCGGGAAACCUCUACUCUCUCCUCGAUGCGCACCUCACAGCGCCUUUGCAGGGCUCGCGCUGCCCCGGACCACACCUCCCCCUUCCUUCGCACCGCUUCCAUCCGUCUCCGCACGGAGGAAGGCCCCCCGCUGCAAGAGCCGCCGCUCCCCAGUCCCCAUUGGAGCCUCCAGCCGCAGAGCGGCCCUGCGCCCAUCGUCCCCGGGGUCCACAAAAGCGCGUCGGGAGGCGAAAGGGAACCACCCCAAUGCGCUAACCCCGCGAACCGCAGGUAG